AAAGAGACAAACUAAGGCGAGUAAACCAACAAAAGAAAACGAAUCGAUAGAGAUAGGAAAUAUAAAAUCGGUAGCACAAGAGUGAUGUUAGAGAAAGUAACGGUGGAAAAUAGAGGAGUUUGGGGAGCAAAUCGGCAGAAAAAAAAGAACAAAACUAAGAAAAAUGGAGAGAAAGCCCUUCCCAAGUCGAAAUUUUGAGUGAAAAAAAAGCAAAAAUAAAAUAAAAAGUAUUCAAAUUCGGCACCAACUCUCAUCAUAUCCCUAAAACUUCUCCUCAAAAUCCUCACUACCAACCCACCAUAAUUCUCUCAACAACCAAAACCAACCUUCAUUCGAACACUUCAGAAUUUCGGCUGGACCAAAAUGCCUACCCGAC
rnacentral:lncRNA from 1 species